GGGCUUGUGGUUUAGUGGUAUAAUACUCCCUUAGCAUCUCUGGAUCUCCAUCUAGAAUAAUCUGGGAGUGGUCCGGGGUUCGAUUCCCCGCGAGUCCA